CCUACGGGAGGCAGCAGUGAGGAAUAUUGGUCAAUGGAGGCAACUCUGAACCAGCCAUGCCGCGUGAAGGAUGACGGCCCUAUGGGUUGUAAACUUCUUUUGAAUAGGAAGAAACUUAUCUACGUGUAGAUAACUGACGGUACUAUUAGAAUAAGGAUCGGCUAACUCCGUGCCAGCAGCCGCGGUAAUACGGAGGAUCCAAGCGUUAUCCGGAUUCAUUGGGUUUAAAGGGUCCGUAGGCGGAUCUUUAAGUCAGUGGUGAAAGCCGACAGCUUAACUGUCGAACUGCCAUUGAUACUGGAGAUCUUGAGUACAAAUGAAGUAGGCGGAAUGAGUCAUGUAGCGGUGAAAUGCAUAGAUAUGACUCAGAACACCGAUUGCGAAGGCAGCUUACUAACAUGUAACUGACGCUGAGGGACGAAAGCGUGGGGAGCGAACAGGAUUAGAUACCCUGGUAGUCCACGCCGUAAACGAUCAUCACUCGCUGUUGGCGAUAUACUGUCAGCGGCCAAGCGAAAGUAUUAAGUGAUGCACCUGGGGAGUACGCCGGCAACGGUGAAACUCAAAGGAAUUGACGGA
rnacentral:rRNA from 1 species